UACGGAAGGCAGCAGUGGGGAAUAUUGCACAAUGGGCGAAAGCCUGAUGCAGCUAUGCCGCGUGUAUGAAGAAGGCCUUAGGGUUGUAAAGUACUUUCAUCGGGGAGGAAAAAACAAAACUAAUAAUUUUAUUUCUUGACGUUACCCGAAAAAGAAGCACCGGCUAACUCCGUGCCAGCAGCCGCGGUAAUACGGAGGGUGCUAGCGUUAAUCAGAAUUACUGGGCGUAAAGAGCACGUAGGUGGUUUUUUUAAGUCAGAUGUGAAAUCCCUGGGCUUAACCUGGAACUGCAUUUUGAAACUGAAAUACUAGAGUAUCGUAGAGGGAGGUAGAAUUCUAGGUGUAGCGGUGAAAUGCGUAGAUAUCUGGAGGAAUACCUGUGGCGAAAGCGGCCUCCUAAACGAAUACUGACACUGAGGUGCGAAAGCGUUGGGGAGCAAACAGGGAUUAGGAUACC
rnacentral:rRNA from 1 species